UGACUGUACCCGAAUAAGAAGGUCCGGCUAACUUCGUGCCAGCAGCCGCGGUAAUACGAAGGGACCUAGCGUAGUUCGGAAUUACUGGGCUUAAAGAGUUCGUAGGUGGUUGAAAAAGUUGGUGGUGAAAUCCCAGAGCUUAACUCUGGAACUGCCAUCAAAACUUUUCAGCUAGAGUAUGAUAGAGGAAAGCAGAAUUUCUAGUGUAGAGGUGAAAUUCGUAGAUAUUAGAAAGAAUACCAAUUGCGAAGGCAGCUUUCUGGAUCAUUACUGACACUGAGGAACGAAAGCAUGGGUAGCGAAGAGGAUUAGAUACCCUCGUAGUCCAUGCCGUAAACGAUGUGUGUUAGACGUUGGAAAUUUAUUUUCAGUGUCGCAGCGAAAGCAAUAAACACACCGCCUGGGGAGUACGACCGCAAGGUUAAAACUCAAAUGAAUUGACGGGGACCCGCACAAGUAGUGGAGCAUGUGGUUUAAUUCGAAGAUACGCGCAGAACCUUACCAACACUUGACAUGUUCGUCGCGACUCUGAGAGAUUAGAGUUUUCGGUUCGGCCGGACGAAACACAGGUGCUGCAUGGCUGUCGUCAGCUCGUGUCGUGAGAUGUUGGGUUAAGUCCCGCAACGAGCGCAACCCUCACUUUUAGUUGCCAUCAUUUAGUUGGGCACUCUGAAAGAACUGCCAGUGAUAAGCUGGAGGAAGGUGGGGAUGACGUCAAGUCCUCAUGGCCCUUACGUGUUGGGCUACACACGUGCUACAAUGGUAUUUACAACAGGAAGCAAGACGGCGACGUUAAGCAAAUCCUAAAAAGAUACCUCAGUUCGGAUUGCACUCUGCAACUCGAGUGCAUGAAGCUGGAAUUACUAGUAAUCGUGGAUCAGCGUGCCACGGUGAAUACGUUCCCGGGUCUUGUACACACCGCCCGUCACACCAUGGGAGUUGGUUCUACCUUAAGGCAAGGUUUUAAACCCUUGACUACGGUAUAGUCAGCGACUGGGGUGAAGUCGUAACAAGGUAGCCGUAGGGGAACCUGCGGCUG
rnacentral:rRNA from 1 species